UACAGAGGUCUCAAGCGUUGUUCGGAAUCACUGGGCGUAAAGGGUGCGUAGGCCGCACGGUAAGUCAGAGGUGAAAUCCCGGAGCUCAACUUCGGAAUUGCCUCCGAUACUGCCGUGCUUGAGGACUGGAGAGGAGAUUGGAAUUCACAGUGGAGCAGUGAAAUGCGUAGAUAUUGUGAGGAACACUAGUGGCGAAGGCGAAUCUCUGGACAGUUCCUGACGCUGAGGCACGAGGGCCAGGGGAGCAAACGGG
rnacentral:rRNA from 1 species